rnacentral:rRNA from 1 species
CUACGGGGUGCUCCAGUGGGGAAUCUUGCGCAAUGGGGGAAACCCUGACGCAGCAACGCCGCGUGGGUGAUGAAGGUUUUCGGAUUGUAAAACCCUGUCACAAGGGACGAAGUUUAGUGAGUUUAAUAGACUUAUUAUUUGACGGUACCUUGAGAGGAAGCCCCGGCUAACUCCGUGCCAGCAGCCGCGGUAAUACGGAGGGGGCAAGCGUUGUUCGGAAUUACUGGGCGUAAAGAGCACGUAGGUGGUCUUGCAAGUCGAGUGUGAAAUCCCUUGGCUCAACCAAGGAAUCGCGCUCGAAACUGCAUGACUAGAGUACAGGAGAGGAGAGUGGAAUUCCCAAUGUAGCGGUGGAAUGCGUAGAUAUUGGGAGGAACACCAGUGGCGAAGGCGUCUCUCUGGACUGAUACUGACACUGAGGUGCGAAAGCUAGGGGAGCAAACGGGAUUAGAUACCCCCGUAGUC